ACCCGGAGAAGACUACAAGGAUUCCCCUAGUAACUGCGAGUGAAGAGGGAAAAGCUCAAAUUUAAAAUCUGGCAGCCUUUGGUUGUCCGAGUUGUAAUCUAGAGAAGUGUUACCCGCGCCGGACCGUGUAUAAGUCUCCUGGAAUGGAGCGUCAUAGAGGGUGAGAAUCCCGUCUUCGACACGGAUCCCCGGGGCUUUGUGGUGCGCUCUCAAAGAGUCGAGUUGUUUGGGAAUGCAGCUCAAAAUGGGUGGUAAAUUCCAUCUAAAGCUAAAUAUUGGCGAGAGACCGAUAGCGAACAAGUACCGUGAGGGAAAGAUGAAAAGAACUUUGGAAAGAGAGUUAAACAGUACGUGAAAUUGCUGAAAGGGAAACGCUUGAAGUCAGUCGCGUCGGCUGGAAAUCAACCUUGCUUUUGUUGGGUGUACUUUCCAGUUGACGGGCCAGCAUCAGUUUUGACCGAUGGAAAAAGUCCAGAGGAAGGUGGCACCUUCGGGUGUGUUAUAGCCUUUGGUCGUAUACAUCGGUUGGGACUGAGGAACUCAGCACGCCGCAAGGCCGGUCUUCGGACACGUUCGUGCUUAGGAUGCUGGCAUAAUGGCUUUAAUCGACCCGUCUUGAAACACGGACCAAGGAGUCUAACAUGCCUGCGAGUGUUUGGGUGGAAAACCCGAGCGCGUAAUGAAAGUGAAAGUCGAGAUCCUUGUCAUGGGGAGCAUCGACGCCCGGACCAGAAGUUCUCUGACGGUUCCGCGGUAGAGCAUGUAUGUUGGGACCCGAAAGAUGGUGAACUAUGCCUGAAUAGGGUGAAGCCAGAGGAAACUCUGGUGGAGGCUCGUAGCGAUUCUGACGUGCAAAUCGAUCGUCAAAUUUGGGUAUAGGGGCGAAAGACUAAUCGAACCAUCUAGUAGCUGGUUCCUGCCGAAUUUCCCCUCCAGGAAA
rnacentral:rRNA from 1 species